GCCUCUGUAGCUCAGUUGGUUAGAGCGCUGCACCGGAAUCGCGGGGCCGUAGGUUCAAUUCCUACCAGAGGAC
rnacentral:tRNA from 1 species